GGUUAAGCGACUAAGCGUACACGGUGGAUGCCCUGGCAGUCAGAGGCGAUGAAGGACGUGCUAAUCUGCGAUAAGCGUCGGUAAGGUGAUAUGAACCGUUAUAACCGGCGAUUUCCGAAUGGGGAAACCCAGUGUGAUUCGUCACACUAUCAUUAACUGAAUCCAUAGGUUAAUGAGGCGAACCGGGGGAACUGAAACAUCUAAGUACCCCGAGGAAAAGAAAUCAACCGAGAUUCCCCCAGUAGCGGCGAGCGGACGGGGAGCAGCCCAGAGCCUGAAUCAGUGUGUGUGUUAGUGGAAGCGUCUGGAAAGGCGUGCGAUACAGGGUGACAGCCCCGUACACAAAAAUGCACAUAUUGUGAGCUUGAUGAGUAGGGCGGGACACGUGGUAUCCUGUCUGAAUAUGGGGGGACCAUCCUCCAAGGCUAAAUACUCCUGACUGACCGAUAGUGAACCAGUACCGUGAGGGAAAGGCGAAAAGAACCCCGGCGAGGGGAGUGAAAAAGAACCUGAAACCGUGUACGUACAAGCAGUGGGAGCACGCUUAGGCGUGUGACUGCGUACCUUUUGUAUAAUGGGUCAGCGACUUAUAUUCUGUAGCAAGGUUAACCGAAUAGGGGAGCCGAAGGGAAACCGAGUCUUAACUGGGCGUUAAGUUGCAGGGUAUAGACCCGAAACCCGGUGAUCUAGCCAUGGGCAGGUUGAAGGUUGGGUAACACUAACUGGAGGACCGAACCGACUAAUGUUGAAAAAUUAGCGGAUGACUUGUGGCUGGGGGUGAAAGGCCAAUCAAACCGGGAGAUAGCUGGUUCUCCCCGAAAGCUAUUUAGGUAGCGCCUCGUGAAUUCAUCUCCGGGGGUAGAGCACUGUUUCGGCAAGGGGGUCAUCCCGACUUACCAACCCGAUGCAAACUGCGAAUACCGGAGAAUGUUAUCACGGGAGACACACGGCGGGUGCUAACGUCCGUCGUGAAGAGGGAAACAACCCAGACCGCCAGCUAAGGUCCCAAAGUCAUGGUUAAGUGGGAAACGAUGUGGGAAGGCCCAGACAGCCAGGAUGUUGGCUUAGAAGCAGCCAUCAUUUAAAGAAAGCGUAAUAGCUCACUGGUCGAGUCGGCCUGCGCGGAAGAUGUAACGGGGCUAAACCAU
rnacentral:rRNA from 2 species